AAAAAGCCACACAAACCAUGUUAUGUUGGGAAACAUGUC
rnacentral:rRNA from 1 species